CACGUAGGCACCAAGCGUUGUCCGGAUUUAUUGGGCGUAAAGAGCUCGUAGGCGGUUCGGUAAGUCGGGUGUGAAAACUUUGGGCUCAACCCAAAGCGUGCAUUCGAUACUGUUGUGACUAGAGUUCGGUAGGGGAGUGGGGAAUUCCUAGUGUAGCGGUGAAAUGCGCAGAUAUUAGGAGGAACACCGGUGGCGAAGGCGCCACUCUGGGCCGAAACUGACGCUGAGGAGCGAAAGCGUGGGUAGCAAACAGG
rnacentral:rRNA from 1 species